UACGUAGGUCCCGAGCGUUGUCCGGAUUUAUUGGGCGUAAAGCGAGCGCAGGUGGUUUAUUAAGUCUGGUGUAAAAGGCAGUGGCUCAACCAUUGUAUGCAUUGGAAACUGGUAGACUUGAGUGCAGGAGAGGUGAGUGGAAUUCCAUGUGUAGCGGUGAAAUGCGUAGAUAUAUGGAGGAACACCGGUGGCGAAAGCGGCUCUCUGGCCUGUAACUGACACUAAGGCUCGAAAGCGUGGGGAGCCAACAGG
rnacentral:rRNA from 1 species